UACGAGGGUGCGAGCGUUGUCCGGAAUCAUUGGGCGUAAAGGGCGCGUAGGUGGCCCGGUCAGUUCGUGGUGAAAGCGCGGGGCUCAACCCUGCGUCGGCCAUGAAUACUGCCGCGGCUGGAGCACUGUAGAGGCAGGCGGAAUUCCGGGUGUAGCAGUGAAAUGCGUAGAGAUCCGGAAGAACACCGGUGGCGAAGGCGGCCUG
rnacentral:rRNA from 1 species